GUGUCGAGCCUAUGAGUGUGUUCUUUCAUAAGGCCCAUCAAGAAAAGAUUCUCCCCCAGGCGCUUUGGGCUUUCUUGAAUCUCUAACAAGUGGUAUCAGAGCCGAUAGUUCGGCAAGGAUGAGUAUGGAAACGAUGGUCGGUGGUUUCCGUGGUGCUUUGGCACAUGAUGGAAGGGUUUGGAGACAUAGGCCCAAUGGAGUAGAAAAGUACUCUUCUGGAGAAGAGCAUGCCAAUGGAAUGGAAACUCUCAGGGCACAUAAUGGCUCUAGCAUGACUCUUUGUGGUGCAUUCUGGUGCAGGUUUG
rnacentral:misc_RNA from 1 species